UCUGGUUGAUCCUGGCUGAACUGAUAUGUUUCUUUCAAAGAUUUAGCCAUGCAUGUGUAAGUAGAGUUGAUAUAAAGCGAAACUGCGAACGGCUCAUUACAACAGAUAUAAUUUACUUGUUCUAUUCCUUAAACGGAUAACUGCGGUAAUUCUGGAGCCAAUACGUGCUAAAAGCUGCAUUAAGCAAUUAGUGUAGUGCACUUAUCGGAGCAAAAUCAUUCCUGGUUUUUUGCUAACUCUGGAUAACACUGCUUAUCGCACGACCUUGUGUCGGCGAAGUUACAUUCAAGUAUCUGCCUUAUCAACUAUCGUUGGUAGUGUAUUGGACUACCAUGGUGUUGACGGGUAACGGAGAAUCAGGGUUCGACUCCGGAGAGGGAGCCUUAGAAACGGCUACCAUGUCUAAGGACAGCAGCAGGCGCGCAACUUAUCCACUGUUCAUUGAACGAGAUAGUGACGAGAAAUAACAAGCCCGUUCUCUUUGAGGUCGGGCAUUGGAAUGGAUGGAAUCUAAACAGUUCCAUGAGUAUCAACGAGAGGGCAAGUCUGGUGCCAGCAGCCGCGGUAAUUCCAGCUCUCGUAAUGUAUAGAAUUAUUGUUGCGGUUAAAAAGUUCGUAGUUGGAUUUUCUACCGUUCGGCGGUUGGGUUUAACGACUCAGACUGUCGGCGGUUUUUGCGCUAUGACUGGCUUGCUAGUCUUAGUGCGGAUUACUUUGAACGGCUUAAGUGCUCAAGGCGAGUCUUCGGACUGAAUACCGGUGCAUGGAAUAAUGGAACAAGGUCACGGCCGAGUUUUAUUGGUUUUGUCGGCUGAGACAAUGGUUAACAGGAACAGCUGGGGGCACUCGUAUCGCUGCGCGAGAGGUGAAAUUCGUGGACCGCAGCGAGACGCCCUAAAGCGAAGGCAUUUGCCAAGAGUGUUUUCAUUAAUCAAGAACGAAAGUCAGAGGUUCGAAGGCGAUUAGAUACCGCCCUAGUUCUGACCGUAAACGAUGCCAACUAUCAAUCCGCCAGUGGCUUUUAGUCAUUGGCGGGCGGAUCGACGGAAACGAAAGUUUUUCGGUUCCGGGGGAAGUAUGGUUGCAAAGCUGAAACUUAAAGGAAUUGACGGAAGGGCACCACCAGGAGUGGAGCUUGCGGCUUAAUUUGACCCAACACGGGAAACCUCACCCGGCCAGUACAUCAUAAGGAUUGACAGAUUGAAAGCUCUUUCAUGAUUUGAUGAAUGGUGGUGCAUGGCCGUUCUUAGUUCGUGGCGUGAGUCGUCUGCUUAAUUGCGAUAACGAGCGAGACUCCGACUGCUAAAUACUGUCUGGAUAAUUUCGUCCUUCACAGUUCUUAGCUGGAUUCGAGACUCCAAGUCUCAAGAAAUGGAGCAAUAACAGGUCUGUGAUGCCCUUAGAUGUUCGGGGCCGCACGCGUGUUACAAUGAUGGUAACAGCGUGAUUGUCCUCGCUCGACAGAGCUUGGCAAACAGUUGAGAUAUUAUUAUGGCUGGAAUUGAGUGUUGAAAUUUUCUCUCAUGAACGAGGAAUUCCAAGUAAAUGCGCGUCAUCAACGUGCAUUGAUUACGUCCCUGCCCUUUGUACACACCGCCCGUCGCUACCCGGGACUGAGUUGUUUCGAGAAAUCUACGGACCGAUUGUGCGUUGGCAACAACUCACUGUUGGAAAGUAAAUUAAUCGCAAUGGCUUGAACCGGGUAAAAGUCGUAACAAGGUA
rnacentral:rRNA from 1 species